GGAGGUGGCAAGCGUUACUCGGAAUCAUUGGGUGUAAAGGGCAAGUAGGUGGUCUAUUAAGUGAGGGGUGAAAUUUCUCGACUCAAUCGGGAACCUGCCUUUCAAACUGGUAGACUUGAGGUGGAAAAAGGGAAAUGGAAUUCUCGGUGUAAGGGUGAAAUCUGUAGAUAUCGAGAAGAACACCUGCUGCGAAGGCGAUUUCCUAGAUCCAUCCUGACACUAAACUGCGAAAGCUAGGGGAGCAAACAGAAUUAGAUACUCUGGUAGUCCUAGCCGUAAACGAUGAGCACUAGGUGUUGGCUCCUUAAGGAGUCAGUGCCGCAGCUAACGCAUUAAGUGCUCCACCUGGGAACUACGGCCGCAAGGCUA
rnacentral:rRNA from 1 species